rnacentral:rRNA from 1 species
UAGGGAAUAUUGCAAAAUGGGCGAAAGCCCGAUGCAGCAACGCCGCGUGGGCGAUGAAGGCCUUCGGGUCGUAAAGCCCUUUUUGAGGGGAUGAGGAAGGACAGUACCCUCAGAAUAAGCCUCGGCUAACUACGUGCCAGCAGCCGCGGUAAAACGUAGGAGGCGAGCGUUAUCCGGAUUUACUGGGCGUAAAGCGCGUGCAGGCGGAUUGGAGAGUUGGAUGUGAAAGCUCCCGGCUUAACUGGGAGAGGUCGUUCAACACUUCCAGUCUUGAGUGCAGGAGAGGGAAGUGGAAUUCCGGGUGUAGUGGUGAAAUGCGUAGAUAUCCGGAGGAACACCAGUGGCGAAAGCGGCUUCCUGGACUGUAACUGACGCCCAGACGCGAAAGCUAGGGUAGCAAACG